rnacentral:rRNA from 1 species
CGCAUCUGUGCAUGCAGCAUAUCAAUAAGCGGAGGAAAAGAAACUAACAAGGAUUCCCUUAGUAACGGCGAGUGAAGCGGGAAGAGCUCAAAUUUGAAAUCUUCAAGGUUUUACCUUGACGAAUUGUAGUUUAAAGAAGUGUUUUCUGCUGAAGUUUUGGUAAAAGUUCUUUGGAAUAGGACAUCAUAGAGGGUGAGAAUCCCGUAUUUGACCAUUAUUUUCAGCUUUGUGAUACACUUUCAAAGAGUCGGAUUGUUUGGGAAUGCAGUCCAAAAUGGGUGGUAAAUUUCAUCUAAAGCUAAAUAUUGGCGAGAGACCGAUAGCGAACAAGUACCGUGAGGGAAAGAUGAAAAGAACUUUGAAAAGAGAGUUAAACAGUACGUGAAAUUGUCAAAAGGGGAGCGUUUGACACCAGUGUUGUUUUCUCGAAAAUCAAUUAAAAAUGGCUCGAUUUUGUAUUGCUUGAGACCUUAAAAGCUCACUGUACAUUUUCGUGUCUUUUUUAAUGCACUUUUCGUUUAACAAGUCAACAUCAGUUUCUUUUGUUGUAAAAGGGUCAUUGGAAGGUGGCUUUCUUUUCGGAGAAAGUGUUUAUAGCCUUUGGCCUCUGCAAUCGAAGAGACUGAGGUCUGCAGCGUAGACUCUUCGGGGUUAGAUACAUUUGUGCUAAGUUAUAGCUUUUUAUAGACAACUUGUUGACUAUAAUUAGUCUUGUAGCUUACUCGCUUAUGCUAUUUUACCUACGCUUAGGAUGUUGACGCAUGAGAUAUACGC